AGCUAAUUUCCAUUCAUUUUCUGGACAAAAACAGUCCCAGAUUCUUUCCAAAACUUCAUCCAACAUCAAGGAAACAUUAAGAUGUGGUAGUUGCUCGUUUUAUGAAAGUUUGGGCAAGAGCGGCUGGUUCCCUUUGUGUUUAAGAAACUGGCUUCAAAGCAAAGAUUGCACAUGGUUAACCAUUUACACUUCAGGUAUAUAUUUCUUCCCUUGCAGUCAAUUAUACAUUCAGAUCAUGAAACAACUUAUACAACCUGUUUUCACUACCCUAGUCAAGAUAAGAUGUCAUUAAGAGUACAUUGAAAAGAGAUAAAGUUGAGUCAUGAUGACCCCUCUGGCCACAAUCAAAUCAUACUUUUCCCAAAAAGAACUUUUCAAAUGCACUAUUCACACUACCUAACCUCCUCCAUACCCCUACUUAAACCAAUCAUAUCUCUCUUCACUCAUCUAAAUCAAUAUUUUUCACUCAUCACAGUUCAUUGUCACAACAAAAAUCCUUUACAAAAUGUCAGACUCUUUUUCCUUCUCCGGUCACUUAUAUUCUCCCAUACACUCUUAUGAUACAACUGACUCUGACUACAUACCCCACUACACUAUUAUCAACCCUCAAUUUCCUCAAAUAACAAUUCAUACACGAUCUGAAAAACCCGAAAAUUAAAGAAAAAUGGACAAAGUCCAUAGACAGGGGGAAACUUCAAAAAACUCCAAAUCCCCGAGUGAUGAAGAAACAACCUUAGACAGUGAGUUUCUAGACUCAGCAAACUCAAGUCAAGGGAAAACUCUGUCCGAUGAAAAGAUGACGACUCAUGGAGGAAAACAAGAAGUAGUACGAAGAAUAAUCCAUCAUCUAUCGGAAAAUAACACAUUUAAAAAGGAUGGGGAGUCCUCAUGGGCAAAACCGGUGGAAAAAGAUGGUGAAUCUUCUUGGGGGAAACCGGUGGAAAAAAAUGGUGGUUCUUCCUAGGAACAAGGGGUUGAUUUAGACGGUGAUGAGGGGAAGAGCACAAAGAAAUACAUAUACUUCCCUUAUAGCCAAGUCACUCAACACCUCCUAGUUAGGAUUUCCUAGAAAUUAGCCUUAGCUUCUACCAUCCACCCUUGUCACAAUCCCUAACAAAGUGACCAGGUUCUCUCUUAUUUUAUCCAUGAAAAAAUCUUAGCAUGCCUAGGUCCUAAGUUUUGCUGGAAUGAUCUGGUUUGUAAGGUUGUAACCAAGGGACUGAAAUUGUGCUUGUUGAAGUUAAUGAAAACAAAACUAUUGCAUAUCUUACAAAUAUGUGCCUUAUUUGUGUGAUUCAAAUGUUUUUUCUUCAAUGAGUAACUAAUUCUGUUAUCUUUUGUAUAUGUGAUAGCCCCAAUAGCCAUGAGUUUAAUAUUGGUAAUGUUUACUUGCCGUAAUCUGAGAUAACUUUUUAAUGAUGCCAAAAGGGGAAAGAUGAUUACCGUGAUUAUGCUUUUUGACUCAUAUACACUAACCUGGUUUACCCUUAAUAGUAGAAUGUGUUGCAAUAUUCAUUUUCUGGGCUAUAAGACGUUUGGAACAGGUUAUAUUACUUGCUUCAAAGGCAUGAGUUUGUCAUCAUCGAAAAGGGGGAAUUUUUUGACAUAAGCAUUUGUGUUUUGAUGAUUGACAAAGUAAAUGAACAAAGAUAGUAAACCAACUUUAGAGACUGUUGAGAUAAAGCGAAUGAACUGUACACAGAAAAAUGAUAGACAAAGCUACUGAACCAGGUUCGGGGACAUGAUUUACUCAAGAGAGUUGCAGACAAACAAAAGACGGACAAGUUCCUACACAGAGACAAGUGCAGUGAAUAGAUCAGAGACAUAUACAGAACAAAAGCAAAUGAGUUAAGUGAAUUAACCAACUCUGUAGAUAUGUUCUCUGUGUGACCAAGUCAGAGACUGUUGUAGGAGAAGAAUGGUGAAUAAAACAGGUUUAUGGACAAUGUUCCAUCUCAGACAGUGAAAAGAUUCAGAGGCGAAAGAAGCAGGUGCUUGAACCAGGUCCAAGAACCUGGUCCAACUCAGAAUCCUACUACGAGUCGGAUAUGUAUUUUAUGGUAAAGACUUGGCGGACAAGUUUGUUGGAUUUAUGGCCAUAAUUAUCAAGAUACUUCAAACUUCUACAAGGACACUGAAGAUGCGUAAAUGCAAGAAUCCCAAGUCAACUCAAACAUUAACUCUCAGUAUGGGCCUUACUUAGUAAAGAUUGAGUUCAACCGACUUGAGGCAAACCUAGAGAUAUAAAUAUUCAAGUCAUACCAUGAAGAAGAUUUGUGCACAUACAAAGUGAGAAAAGCUAUAAUUGAGAGAGUUUUGAUUACUGUAGUGCAACCCUGAUACUGCGAAGAAGAUUAAAGAAGCUGUUCUACAGAGUUUAUAUUUUACAGUUCUUGAGCCUAGAUUUUUGUAUUAGGUUGUUUAUCGAGUUGUACCUUUAUCCGCUUUUAUAGAAGCAUAAAUUAUAGGUAUAAACAGUUAGUCAAAUUCAACUGCAAGUGGGGAUAACUUGAAGUGGGCUCACUAGUCUAGGGAGAUUGGUGAGAUAGGAAUUAGAGUUUAGUUCCUAGGUUACAGAGUUUUUAAAUUGAAUUUGCACAUACUCACAGUUGUAGUGGAGCUUGGGAAAAAUCAUACAGAGGUGUAGGUCAUGAUUUUUUACCCUUGUGAGCUGGGAGGUUUUCACGUAAAAAUUAAUGUGUUCUUUACUUUCCUGUUGUUUACUAUUCCGCAACACCAAGCUUGAAAUAGGUAGAGCAACUCCACCCACGACCGGUAGGUCUUGGGUUCGAGUCACACUGGAGGGGAAGUGUGGAAACACUAUAAAUCCUCCUAAAAUGGGAGGGAAAAAAAAAAAAAAAAAAGG